AGCUUUGCACACUGGCAGUAUCGUAGCCAAUGAGGUUUAUCCGAGGCACAAUUAUUGCUAAUUGAAAACUUUUCUCAAAGAUAUCAAAUAGAGAAAAGUAAAAUCAUUCUACUUAUCACAUUCAGAUGAACAUACGAAUGU